GAUGAACGCUAGCGGCAGGCCUAAUACAUGCAAGUCGAACGGUGUAGCAAUACACAGUGGCACACGGGUGCGUAAAACGUAUGCAACCUACCUUACAUUGGGGGAUAGCCUUUCGAACGGGAGAUUAAUACCGCAUAAGACAGUAACUAGGCAUCUAGUAGCUGUUAAAGAUUUAUCGAUGUAAGCUGGGUAUGCGUCCAAUUAGUUAGUUGGCGAGGUAAUGGCUCACCAAGACGAUGAUUGGUAGGGGAACUGAGAGGUCAAUCCCCCACACUGGCGCUGAGAUACGGGCCAGACUCCUACGGGAGGCAGCAGUAGGGAAUAUUGGGCAAUGGGCGCAAGCCUGACCCAGCCAUGCCGCGUGCAGGAAGAAGGCGUUAUGCGUUGUAAACUGCUUUUAUACAGGAAGAAACGACCCUUGCGAGGGGCAUUGACGGUACUGUAUGAAUAAGCACCGGCUAACUCCGUGCCAGCCGCCGCGGUAAUAC
rnacentral:rRNA from 1 species